rnacentral:lncRNA from 1 species
CAAAAGCCCUUCUUAGCCAGGCAGUGCCCAUGGUCUUGAGGCUAAGGAGGCACCUAGAAAGGCUUGGGGCCAGUCGAACACUGGACUCCCUGGCUGGACCGCUGACACCGCCGGUCCAGGAGGUGGUGAGGAGGUUGUCCUUUGCUGUACGGAAACGCCUAGAGCCACUUCUUUCCAGCAAGGUCCAUAUGCUGGCGGCCUUGUGUGAUCCACGGCUAAAGUACAACGUCUGCCCAAAAGACUUUACCGUAUGGAAGGCCCAACUAGUUAACCUUGUGAGGGAGGUCUUUGCUGCCAGGGUGGGGGAAACGGGCACAGCGGCCCCUCUACCGGAAAUGCCUGCAACCCCCAGCACUAGCGCUAGUGGCGAGAGUGAUAGUCCUGGGGAGCCGGCAGGGGGUUGCCGUAGGGUUACGGAUCUCCAGCCGCAACCAGGAAACGCUUUCUUUGCAGAGACGGUGGCCAUACUAGCCUGCUCGGAAGAUUCCUCUUUGCUGGCUUCUGCUCAAAAGGUAGACUCGGCCGAAUGCUCGGUCAACAGGUACUUUGAGGAGCCUCCUGAGAUAAUUUCUUGUGAUCCAUUGGCCUAUUGGGCUUCACGUGAUCACAUGUGGCCGGAUCUGUCGCACGUAGCCCGCCAGUUCCUCAGCUGUCCUCCCACCAGCGUGCAGAGCGAAAGGGUCUUCAGCCUAGCGGGAGAUGUAGUCACGCCCCACCACAGCUUGCUGGACCCUCAAACAGUUGAGAAACUGGUCUUCCUGAAGGCCAACCUUCCCGUGUUGAAUUUCCCCGAUUUGGAUUUUGACACCGACGGCUCCUAGAACAACAGUUCUCCUCCUUUAAGCAGCUCUGCUUCUGAUUAACUUUGACUAUUUCUGUUGGGGGGCGGGGGGGUUGCCCCUUUGGCCUAUGUCCAACAACUCUCUCCUCUAUCCUACCAUGCUUUCCUUCCUCUCUUCCCUUCCGUUCUCGUCUUUAUCAUCACACACCGUUGCCCACUUUCGUUUUUGGGUAAAUCAAUCUCUAGGGGCCGUUCCCUG